GAUGAACGCUGGCGGCGUGCUUAACACAUUCAAGUCGAACGAAGUAGCAAUACUUAGUGGCGGACGGGUGAGUAACGCGUGAGCAACCUGCCUUUGUGAGGGGGAUAACGUUUGGAAACGAACGCUAAUACCGCAUAAUGCAUAGAAAUCACAUGUUUUUUAUGCCAAAGAUUUAUCGCACAAAGAUGGGCUCGCGUCUAAUUAGAUAGUUGGUGAGGUAACGGCUCACCAAGUCGACGAUUAGUAGCCGGACUGAGAGGUUGAACGGCCACAUUGGAACUGAGAUACGGUCCAGACUCCUACGGGAGGCAGCAGUGGGGAAUAUUGGGCAAUGGGCGAAAGCCUGACCCAGCGACGCCGCGUGAGGGGAGAAGUCCUUCGGGAUGUAAACCUUAGUCGACAGGGACGAAGAAAUGACGGUACCUGUAGAGGAAGCCACGGCUAACUACGUGCCAGCCGCCGCGGUAAAAC
rnacentral:rRNA from 1 species